rnacentral:rRNA from 1 species
GAAAGAUGAUCAGGUUGAUAGGUCUGAGGUGGAAGUGUGGCGACACAUGGAGCUGACAGAUACUAAUCGAUCGAGGACUUAACCUAAUU